rnacentral:rRNA from 1 species
GGGGAAUAUUGGACAAUGGGGGGAACCCUGAUCCAGCCAUGCCGCGUGUGUGAAGAAGGCCUUUUGGUUGUAAAGCACUUUAAGCGAGGAGGAGGCUACUGGUAUUAAUACUACCGGAUAGUGGACGUUACUCGCAGAAUAAGCACCGGCUAACUCUGUGCCAGCAGCCGCGGUAAUACAGAGGGUGCGAGCGUUAAUCGGAUUUACUGGGCGUAAAGCGUGCGUAGGCGGCUUUUUAAGUAGGAUGUGAAAUCCCUGAGCUUAACUUAGGAAUUGCAUUCGAUACUGGGAGGCUAGAGUAUGGGAGAGGGUGGUAGAAUUCCAGGUGUAGCGGUGAAAUGCGUAGAGAUCUGGAGGAAUACCGACGGCGAAGGCAGCCAUCUGGCCUAAUACUGACGCUGAGGUACGAAAGCAUGGGGAGCAAAC